AUGCACUCUUGUGUAUAACCAAUUUUAUCUCCUCUCUAUCAAUUUACUAAAGUCAAUCCACUAAAACUGAUGGAGGACCAUCCAAGCUCAACAUAGGACCUUUAACAAGAGCCAUGUCUAAGAGAAUCCAAGAGGAAGAGGGAGCACUCACUACUUUGCUCUUAUGGAGUAUUAAUUACUAAAAUCUUCCUCCUCUUUAAAUAACUUUACAUUGUUUUGUAGGUCAUUAAAUAAAGCUUGGCAAACACUUGGAGGAGUAACCAAGCAAGGAAAAGCAAAGGAGCUAAAAUUGAAGAUGUCGCUGUUACCGCUUAGAUGCAUGAAUUCUGUACAGCCCAGCGUCACCGCAGACAGCAACUCCAUCUUCCUCUGUAGUUCUGCUUAACUGGCAAACUUAGCUUGCUUCCCAAGCUUCCUUUCAUUGCAUCACAUGCCUUUAGAAUAGCUUGCAUAACACGUCUUAGAAGUUCUCCUUCAUCUAUAAAUAGGGGGCUUCAUCCUUUGUAAAUUCAACUUUGAAUUGAUAAUGAAAUGCUGUUGAGAUUUCUCCAAACAUUCUUUCAGAGUUCAAACACUUUGUGCCUAUUCUGCACAUCCUCCUCUAGCUUCCUUCCCUCUUGGAAGGCUUUCGGAGCUUGAGAUUCCUUGAUCCACUCAUACACUUUCAUUGAAACACUCAUCAAACACUUACCGUGCCUCAUCGUCAUCCAACUAACCGCUGCCUUCUCUGGUUUUGGAAGUGCUCGUGAUUGAAUUGCAAGGAUGAUUCCAUCAUUUGGCAUCAAGAGCCAGUCGUUUCAGUCACGCUUCAAGAGCUAAGUGUCUCGUAUCCAUUCCUCUGUUUUUUUUUUCGUCUUGUGCUGUUCAUAUAUGUCACUGUUCCAUUUUGUUUUUCUGGUUUGAUUCUGUGUUUGAGUGAAUGUUUGAUUCUAUUCACUGUUCGUUAGUGUUUGUUCUUCAUUUUAAUCGGUGCACUUCUUUUAAUUGAAUCCAAUUCAUCUAAAUUCAUCAUUUCCGUUUUGUAUCACAGUCAUGUGCAGAAAAUCACUGCAGUUUUAAUUCCGUCAAGUAAUUGCUACUGUUUUCAGCUUCAUUUUUUUUCGUUUUCUUUGAGUCGUGUGCAUCUACUAAGCUCUAUGUUGAUCCUAUAAAGCAAUGACAUCAAAUCAGCUUGAUCAUUUGAGUUAACAGCAGUGCACACUGUUUUUGGUUCCAAAUUCUGCAAAAAAAAAGAAGUCAAGUUCUGGGUUUAUAUUUUGUAAUCUGUUUUGAUUCAGAUUUAGUGAUUCUUAAGCUUUGUACGAGUUUUUGUGAUGUUCUUAAGCAUUGCUAGAAGUAUAACAACUCACAAUACUCACAGAAUUGCAAAAUGUGUGGUUGAGUUCCUCCAACUUUAAUUUCAGAUUUUGCAAUACGAGGCAUGUCUGAUUUCAUCAUGUGCAUCUCCUUUUUGUUCAGAUUUAUUGAUUGUAAAACUUGAGACAAGUUUCUUUGAUGCAUUUAUACAUGUUUCAAGUGUUAACAGUUACAAAUCAACAAUGAAUCACAAAAAGAGUAGUUGAGUUGUUUAAAACUCUGUUUCGGUAAUGUCACAAUACUUUCAAGUUUUGCACCGUACUUGAUAUCAUUGCUUGUGUCUUAGGCCAUUUUAAUCUUCUAGCUCAUCUUUUCUAAGCUAGAUCUAAUGCAUAGGACCAUUCUUCUAUCUUGUUUGAUCCAGCCAGCCUUGAUUCUAUGCAAUUUUUUCAAUUCUAAUGCAGAUUUGUAGUUUUUUUUUGCUGCAUAAUUAGCAACUCUGACUAUGAUUUCGAGCAUGUGUAUGUUUCUGUGCAUUGCAACUGUUUGAACACAUUCAUUUGAUCAUUUAAAACCUGUUUGCACUGUCCAAUUGCUCUUUUCAUAGCCAAGGUAUCAUUUCACAUCUUGAACCAUCAUUUUACUUGAAAUAUGCAAGUGCACACCUCAUAUUGAGAUCUUGUCUGUUUUAGAUCAGUUUCAUUGAGUUUGGAGUCAUUUUUGGUGAAUUGAAAUUGGUUGGUUACUGUUCAUAUGGUAAAUUUUGAGCCAAAUUGGUAUUGACUUGCUGCAUCACCAAAUUUUCCUCAUUUUUUAAGUAGUGCACUUGUCAUCUUUUACAGCAGUCAAUUUCUUUGCUGAUUGAGUGCUUGGACACACCUAUUAUGAUGAUAUAAAGCUGCUUGAAGUGUCAUUGAGCAGUUGACUUCACUGCCAUUCAACUUUCAUACUGUUGUUGUCAUAUUUUUAGCCACCAUCUUAUAUUCAAAUUGUAAACUGGUUUGGCAAAAGCUGGGGAUCUUGUCCCAAACACAAUUAAAUCCUUACACAGGUGUAAACCAAUCUGAAAAAGUGGAGUGUGACUUCAUUUUGAGGUGAUCCAAGUUCCAACAAGCUUCCUCCAAGAGGGUAGCAUACUAGGAAGUGGAGAGUUUGUAGAAUUGGCUACAAAGGUUGUUCUCCAAGCUGCAUUCUUGUGCAGUUUUCAGCAGCAUUUCCCCACCCUUCACACAAAAAAUUUCACAUACUUUUGGAGCUAAACUACAUUCAGAUUUGGUAGCCUCCCUUGUAUACAUAGAAUAGCUCAUUUUUCUCCAUUUUUCAGCUUUGUAUCACGAAACCUUUGAAGUUUAAUUGCUUUACAUUUCUCAAACUUAAAGUAACUUGGAAAAAUGUUAUCCAAGCAAUUCCAAGUCUACUAAGCAACAUUGUAAUAGUUAGUUCCCACUUAUUAGAGUGAAAGUGUGUCAAGGGGCUCCAAGUGUCACUUGCACUUUCACAUAGGGCCGGUUAUCAUUGUCUUCCAUUUCCAUUCA